rnacentral:lncRNA from 1 species
UUAUAGACUUCUCAUUAUCCCCUAUAGGUCAACUGUUUGGUUAUUCAUUUAUUAAGCUCAUAUCUGUUAUCAAUUUCAGAAGUCUUAUUGGUUGCCAAUAAUUAGAUCACUCAUUUUGUAACCCAAAAUAAAUGACCGAUAUAAUUGUAAUAAACAUACGAUGUCUACCUUAAUUAGAAAUUAUGAAUUUCUAAUCCAAGCUCCAAGAAUUUAAGAAACUUGAAC